GAGUUUGAUCCUGGCUCAGAAUGAACGCUGGCGGCAGGCCUAAAACAUGCAAGUCGAACGCUCUAGUUUACCAGAGAGUGGCGCACGGGUGAGUAACAUGUGGGAAUAUACCUUUUGGUACGGAACAACUUUUAGAAAUGAAAGCUAAUACCGUAUGGUCCCUUCGGGGUAAAGAUUUAUCGCCAAGAGAAUAGCCCGCACUGGAUUAGCUAGUUGGUAAGGUAACGGCUCUACCAAGGCGACGAUCCAUAGCUGGUUUGAGAGGAUGAUCAGCCACACUGGGACUGAGACACGGCCCAGACUCCUACGGGAGGCAGCAGUUAGGAAUAUUGGACAAUGGGCGCAAGCCUGAUCCAGCCAUGCCGCGUGAGUGAUGAAGGCCUUCGGGUUGUAAAGCUCUUUAGCUCGUGAAUAUAAUGACUGUAGCGAGAAAAUAAGCCCCGGCUAACUCCGUGCCAGCAGCCGCGGUAAUACGGGGGGGGCGAGCGUUAUUCGGAAUCACUGGGCGUAAAGCGUACGUAGGCGGUUAUGAAAGUUAGAUGUGAAAGCCCAGGGCUCAACCUUGGAAUUGCAUUUAAUACUCCAUGACUUGAAUUCGGGAGAGGAUAGUGGAAUUGUCAGUGUAGCAGUGAAAUGCGUAGAUAUUGAUAGGAACACCAGUGGCGAAGGCGACUAUCUGGACCGACAUUGACGCUGAGGUACGAAAGCGUGGGGAGCAAACGGGAUUAGAUACCCCGGUAGUCCACGCCGUAAACGAUGUGUGCUUGUCGUCGGGAGCUUUAGUUCUCGGUGACGGAGCUAACGCGUUAAGCACACCGCCUGGGAAGUACGGUCGCAAGGUUAAAACUCAAAUGAAUUGACGGGGGCCCGCACAAGCGGUGGAGCAUGUGGUUUAAUUCGAUGCAACGCGAAGAACCUUACCUACUCUUGACAUCCACAGAAUCUGGUAGAGAUACCUCAGUGCCUUCGGGAACUGUGAGACAGGUGCUGCAUGGCUGUCGUCAGCUCGUGUUGUGAAAUGUUGGGUUAAGUCCCGCAACGAGCGCAACCCUUAUCCUUAUUUGCCAGCACGUAAUGGUGGGAACUCUAAGGAGACUGCCGGUGAUAAACCGGAGGAAGGUGGGGACGACGUCAAGUCAUCAUGGCCCUUACGAGUAGGGCUACACACGUGCUACAAUGGCGCAUACAAAGGGCUGCAAACCAGCAAUGGUAAGCGAAUCCCAUAAAGUGCGUCGUAGUCCGGAUUGGGGUCUGCAACUCGACCCCAUGAAGUCGGAAUCGCUAGUAAUCGUGAAUCAGAAUGUCACGGUGAAUACGUUCCCGGGCCUUGUACACACCGCCCGUCACACCAUGGGAGUGGGCUGCACCAGAAGUCAUUAGCUUAACCCUUCGGGGAGGGCGAUGACCACGGUGUGGUUCAUGACUGGGGUGAAGUCGUAACAAGGUACC
rnacentral:rRNA from 1 species